GACGAACGCUGGCGGCGUGCUUAACACAUGCAAGUCGAACGGAAAGGCCCUGCUUUUGUGGGGUGCUCGAGUGGCGAACGGGUGAGUAACACGUGAGUAACCUGCCCUUGACUUUGGGAUAACUUCAGGAAACUGGGGCUAAUACCGGAUAGGAGCUCCUGCUGCAUGGUGGGGGUUGGAAAGUUUCGGCGGUUGGGGAUGGACUCGCGGCUUAUCAGCUUGUUGGUGGGGUAGUGGCUUACCAAGGCUUUGACGGGUAGCCGGCCUGAGAGGGUGACCGGGCAAAAUGGGACUGAGAUACCGGCCAGACUCCUACGGGGGGGAAGAGUUGGGAAUAUUUCCACAUGGGCGGAAGCCUGAUUCAGGCACGCCGCGGGCGGGAAGACGGCCUUCGGGUUGUAAACCGCUUUCGCCUGUGACGAAGCGGGAGUGACGGGAAUGGGUAAAGAAGCAACGGCUAACUACGUG
rnacentral:rRNA from 1 species